UGGUUUCUGAGGCUUUGGUCCAUAGU
rnacentral:piRNA from 1 species